UUUAGUUCUAGAUUAUAACAUACCACGAAAUAUUAAAAAUGGCUAUGUAAUAGUAUUGUAAAAGGUCUAUAUGUAAGUGACAGAGAUAUUUAACAAUGAUCAUUAAUAGAAUAAUUUAUGUAUUGAUUGAUUGUUAAUUUUAUAGCAUUCCUAUUAACAAAACACAGAUAGUGAUCUAUAUAAUAAUAUUCGUUAUGAAGUUAUAACUAUCUACAGUAUUUUCAAAUAAUUUUGGAGAUGAGAAUAUAAGGAAAAAAGGUUGAUGUGUUGCAUUAAAAACUACAACGAAGAAUGGCUAUCGGUGUAUUUCCUGUUCUUAAAUUAGGUGUAUUACUUAUCAAACAAAUUAGUAAACCUUUGGCUAAAUUAAUAGUUAAUCAAGCUAAAAAUCAUCCUGUAUUUCGUACAUACUUUAUUAUUCCACCUGCUCAAUUUUAUCAUUGGGCAGAAGUUAAAGGUAAAAUGUAUAUGAUGAAUCUUGGAAAACCAACGAAAGUAGCUAAGUUAAACGAAACUAUGGCAAUAGAAUUAGGAUCUAACUUAAUGGGAGAAGUUAUUAUUUUUAGUCUUGCUGGUGGAUGUUUAAUAUUUGAAUAUAAUCGUCAAGUUGCUAAAGAAGCAAAAAGAGAAGAAGCACGCAAUGCACAGAUACAAGAAUUUAAGAAUAAUAUCGAGUCAUUACAAAAUAAUAGUACACAAUUACAAAGUGAUAUUAUUUAUUUACAAGAUGUUAUAAAAGAAUUAGCGAAACGAACGAAGUAUCAACUACCUGAACAACCUGUGUUAACAGAAACUGAGAAAAAAGUUGAUCAACCACAAAGUACAAAUACUACAAUAAGCACAGAAGCAACAGACAAUACAGAAAUAAAAGGUUCGCUGGUUCAACGCGCUAUAACAUAUUAUGAAAAUAAUGUUAAAGCAGAUAGAUAGAAGAAAAAAAUUAGGUAACUCUAGUCUUUUGAUCAAUAAUGGCAUAAUUUGUAAUUUUAUCAUAAAAAUGAAUAAAAAUUUUAAUUCAAAUAAAGGUGACAAACUAGACGUUUUAAAAUGACCAUAAAUAGAAGGAGAUCGGCUUCUACUUCUCCUAUUAAUGGAAUGACGACUGUACGAAGAAGGCGGAGGAGUUCGACGUUUUAACGCAGGACUAUUAUUGCGAGAUCUUUUGAUAGCGGAUUCAGUAAGCUGACGUAUUUUUAGAGACAAGGCAGCGUUUUCAGCACGAAGUUUUUGAAUUUGUGCUCGGAAUGAUGCUCGUUCUUUAGCAACGCUAUUUUCUAAUGCACUUAUUGCACUAGCUAAUCGUCUUA